GGUCCAGUAGCUCAGCCAGGUUAGAGCACUACUCUGAUACGAUUUCGAGAUUUUUUAAUCUCAGAAAGGUAGGGGUCCCAGGUUCAAAUCCUGGCUGGACCA
rnacentral:tRNA from 1 species